UACUUAGUGGCAGACGGGUGAGUAACAUGUGGGUAUCUACCCUUUGGCCUGGAAUAACACGAGGAAACUUGUGCUAAUACCGGAUAAGUCUUUACGGAGAAAGCUUUAUGCACCAUUGGAUGAGCCCGCACUUGAUUAGUUUGUUGGUAGGGUAAUGGCCUACCAAGACUAUGAUCAAUAGCUGAUUUGAGAGGAUGAUCAGCCACAUUGGGACUGAGACACGGCCCAAACUCCUACGGGAGGCAGCAGUGGGGAAUCUUGCACAAUGGAGGAAACUCUGAUGCAGCGAUGCCGCGUGAGUGAAGAAGGCCUUUGGGUUGUAAAGCUCUUUCGUCGGGGAAGAAAAUGACUGUACCCGAAUAAGAAGGUCCGGCUAACUUCGUGCCAGCAGCCGCGGUAAUACGAAGGGACCUAGCGUAGUUCGGAAUUACUGGGCUUAAAGAGUUCGUAGGUGGUUGAAAAAGUUGGUGGUGAAAUCCCAGAGCUUAACCCUGGAACUGCCAUCAAAACUUUUCAGCUAGAGUAUGAUAGAGGAAAGCAG
rnacentral:rRNA from 1 species